CUGGAAAGUCCACGUUUUUUUGCCA
rnacentral:piRNA from 1 species